rnacentral:piRNA from 1 species
UCUACGGAGCAAGAGGGAAAA